rnacentral:lncRNA from 1 species
UAAUUGAAUCAUGGAGGCAGUUAGCCCCAUGCUGCUGUUCUCAUGAUAGUGAGCGUGUUCUUACGAGAUCUGAUUGUUUUAUAAGGGGCUUUCCCCUCCUUCGCUCUGCACUUCUCCUUGCUGCUGCCAUGUGAAGAAGGAUAUGUUUGUUUCCCCUUCCGCCAUGAUUGUAAGUUUCCUGAGGCCUCCCGAGCCAUGCAGAACGAACAGACGAGGCUGCCACUCAACACCAAAACUAAGAGAAGGAUUGAAGUGAGUGGGAAUCACUAAAAGAGUCCUACUGGCCUUCUUCCUGGGACUGGGGAGCCAGCUGUCCUUUGCCCCUCCACUCCCAGCUCCCCGGUCCUGGACCUGGGAAGACUCCCCUGCUCCGGCCCUCCCUGCAUCCCUGAGAGGCCUGGAGAGCAGAGGCCUCUAGAGCUGGUCGCUGUCUUGUUUACUACCUGAAACCAGGCCUCUGAGUUUUCUGCUUGUGCAACAAGACGAUCUGCUUGAGGAAGAGAAGUCAUGGGCCACUCAUUAAGACAGCCAGUCCCAGGGGAAAGAGAAAUGGGUGAGGCCUGGGAUGUAGGAGCUCCUUCUGGCUCUGUCGCUGGCUUACUGCUAUACCUGGGACAAAGAAUGACUUCCUUAAGCCCGUUGUGCUCACCUAUAAACUGGCAACUAUGCGAUCUGACCUGCUCAUCUCAUGGAAUUGUUGCAAGACUCAAAUGAUCAAGCAAGUUUUCUAGGAAACAUCUGGAAAGAGGCAGCCCAAACUGUUCAGAAUGGCUUCUCUAGGGAAGAGGAUAUGGGAGCGAAUGGAGAGAACUGCGGUUAUUCCGCUUUUGUCUUCGAUUAAUUCUGAUCUUGUUUCCAAAUGUUUUAACAAAUACGGAUUCCUUUUGUGAUUGAAAAAGUUUGUAGGCCAGGCAUGGUGGCUCUCACACUUGUAAUCCCAGCACUUUGGGAGGCCGAGGCAGGAGGAUUGUUUGAGCCUAGGAGUUUGAGACCAGCCUGGGCAAUGUAGCAGGACCCCAUCUCUAAUUUGAAUAAUAAAAAAUAGGCCAGCACGGUGGCUAAUACCUGUAAUUCCAACACUUUGGGAGGCUGAGGUGAGAGGAUCCCUUGAGCUCAGUAGUCUGAGACCGGCCUGGGCAACAGAGUGGAACCCCAUGUCUGUAAGUAAUUUUAAAAAUUAGCUGGGCAGUCGGGCGUGGUGGCUCAGCGUGUAAUCCCAGCACUUUGGGAGGCCGAGGCGGGCAGAUCAUGAGGUCAGGAGAUCGAGACCAUCCUGGCUAACACGGUGGAACCCCCGUCUCUACUAAAAAUACAAAAAAAUUAGCUGGGCGUGGUGGCGG